AUUGAUGGCGAGUGGCGAACGGGUGAGUAAUGCAUCGGAACGUGCCCUGUAGUGGGGGAUAACUAGUCGAAAGAUUAGCUAAUACCGCAUACGACCUGAGGGUGAAAGUGGGGGACCGCAAGGCCUCAUGCUAUAGGAGCGGCCGAUGUCUGAUUAGCUAGUUGGUGAGGUAAAGGCUCACCAAGGCGACGAUCAGUAGCUGGUCUGAGAGGACGAUCAGCCACACUGGGACUGAGACACGGCCCAGACUCCUACGGGAGGCAGCAGUGGGGAAUUUUGGACAAUGGGCGAAAGCCUGAUCCAGCAAUGCCGCGUGUGUGAAGAAGGCCUUCGGGUUGUAAAGCACUUUUGUCCGGAAAGAAAUGGCUCUGGUUAAUACCUGGGGUCGAUGACGGUACCGGAAGAAUAAGGACCGGCUAACUACGUGCCAGCAGCCGCGGUGAUACGUAGGGUCCAAGCGUUAAUCGGAAUUACUGGGCGUAAAGCGUGCGCAGGCGGUUGUGCAAGACCGAUGUGAAAUCCCCGAGCUUAACUUGGGAAUUGCAUUGGUGACUGCACGGCUAGAGUGUGUCAGAGGGGGGUAGAAUUCCACGUGUAGCAGUGAAAUGCGUAGAGAUGUGGAGGA
rnacentral:rRNA from 1 species